GCAGACGACAGUCACGACACACACACACACAAAAAAAGACAACAUCAAGAGGGACCUGACGCCACACCGGCACCUCCUGGUUAAUCUUGGUUUAUCUUGGUGAUUUUAAGUGGAUUUAUACCUGCGUGGGAUUUUGUGAUUUCCCACACCGAAAGCAAAAGAACUUGACCUCCUCUUUUCUGGUGACCUUUCUUAACUAUGUAAUCUGAGUAAUCCCAGAUCAAGGUCUGGCCAAGGUUUAAUUGCAUGGUGAUUAUCUAGACACGACGAACUACGCGUCUGAGAAAUUAAUGGUUCACCGAGAGAUGGAGGACCGAAGAACCAACAGACAAAUAAAUAAUCGCCGGUUUGACGUGGAAAGAAUAAUUAGACAACAUGAAAACGACGACCGACAACGAAGAAUAAAUGAUCAAAUUGACCGAUUUGAAAUAAGGGCAAGGCAUGUCCGUGAGUUGCUUAUGCAACAAACACAUUCCCGCUAUCACAUAAUGCAAGUGAAUCAACGUAUUCAUCUAAAUUGCCCUACUUUGCCUCUGUUGCGCUACCGCAGUAAUCCUAAUAAGCCGGCCUAUCAAGGAGGAUAAAUAACAAUUUGAUCAAUAACACUCAUCAUUCUGCUUGCAUGUGAAGGAAGUCCAAGAUUGCAUUCCUUUAGGAUUCAAGCCAACAAAAGUAGAUUCAGUGCAAUUUAGUUGACAAUUUCAUAUGUUUGAAUUGCUUCCCGGAAAUAAAUUACUUGCACUAUAACCGUCAA